rnacentral:rRNA from 1 species
GAUGAACGCUAGCGGCAGGCUUAAUACAUGCAAGUCGAGGGGCAGCAUGAACUAGCAAUAGUUUGAUGGCGACCGGCAAACGGGUGCGGAACACGUACACAACCUUCCUUUAAGUGGGGAAUAGCCCAGAGAAAUUUGGAUUAAUACCCCGUAACACAACGAAGUGGCAUCACUUUGUUGUUAUAGUUUCGGCGCUUAAUGAUGGGUGUGCGUAUGAUUAGAUAGUUGGCGAGGUAACGGCUCACCAAGUCUACGAUCAUUAGCUGAUGUGAGAGCAUGAUCAGCCACACGGGCACUGAGACACGGGCCCGACUCCUACGGGAGGCAGCAGUAAGGAAUAUUGGUCAAUGGACGCAAGUCUGAACCAGCCAUGCCGCGUGAAGGAUUAAGGUCCUCUGGAUUGUAAACUUCUUUUAUAUGGGACGAAAAAAGGUCUUUCUAGACCCCUUGACGGUACCAUAUGAAUAAGCACCGGCUAACUCCGUGCCAGCAGCCGCGGUAAUACGGAGGGUGCAAGCGUUAUCCGGAUUCACUGGGUUUAAAGGGUGCGUAGGCGGGUAGGUAAGUCAGUGGUGAAAUCCUGGAGCUCAACUCCAGAACUGCCAUUGAUACUAUUUAUCUUGAAUAUUGUGGAGGUAAGCGGAAUAUGUCAUGUAGCGGUGAAAUGCUUAGAUAUGACAUAGAACACCCAUUGCGAAGGCAGCUUACUACGCAUAUAUUGACGCUGAGGCACGAAAGCGUGGGGAUCAAACAGGAUUAGAUACCCUGGUAGUCCACGCCCUAAACUAUGGAUACUCGACAUAUGCGAUACACUGUAUGUGUCUGAGCGAAAGCAUUAAGUAUCCCACCUGGGAAGUACGUUCGCAAGAAUG